rnacentral:lncRNA from 1 species
GGGUUAGGGUCAGGGUGAUAGAUAGCAUUGAAAUUGAAAUGCCUGUGUCUUCCAGUGUGGGUUGGAAAGUUAGUAUUAGCGUAAGUUGGUGGGGAGGGGGAGGGAUAAUGUCACAUGUCAAGCACCUCUGUAUUGUGAUUUGGUCCUGCGCCUUAGGGUUAGGGUUAGGGUUAGGAGUAGGUUUAGGUUUAGGGUUCCAAUUCAUGUACCUGACGUUUGGAGUGUGGGUAUGAUUGUUAGGGUUAGGGUGCUUCUUUUCGUAAGGGUCAUGGAUAGUGCAGAAAUAGCGGUACUUGAGGAUGACUUAUUGUUCUGGCAGGGUUAGGGCUAGGGUUAGGGUUAGGGUCAGGGUGAUAGAUAGCAUUGAAAUUGAAAUGCCUGUGUCUUCCAGUGUGGGUUGGAAAGUUAGUAUUAGCGUAAGUUGGUGGGGAGGGGGAGGGAUAAUGUCACAUGUCAAGCACCUGUGUAUUGUGAUUUGGUCCUGCGCCUUAGGGUUAGGGUUAGGGUUAGGAGUAGGUUGAGGUUUAGGGUUCCAAUUCAUGUACCUGACGUUUGGAGUGUGGGUAUGAUUGUUAGGGUUAGGGUGCUUCUUUUCGUAAGGGUCAUGGAUAGUGCAGAAAUAGCGGUACUUGAGGAUGACUUAUUGUUCUGGUAGGGUUAGGGCUAGGGUUAGGGUUAGGGUCAGGGUGAUAGAUAGCAUUGAAAUUGAAAUGCCUGUGUCUUCCAGUGUGGGUUGGAAACUUAGUAUUAGCAUGAUUUCAUGGGGACGGGGAGGGAUAAUGUCACAUGUCAAGCACCUGGGGAGUUUGAUUUGGUCCUGAGGCUUAGGGUUAGGGUUAGGGUUAGGAGUAGGUUGAGGUUUAGGGUUCCAAUUCAUGUACCUGACGUUUGGAGUGUGGGUAUGAUUGUUAGGGUUAGGGUUCUUCUUUUCGUAAGGGUCAUGGAUAGUG